GAUGAACGCUGGCGGCGUGCCUAAUACAUGCAAGUCGAGCGAACAGACGAGGAGCUUGCUCCUUUGACGUUAGCGGCGGACGGGUGAGUAACACGUGGGUAACCUACCUAUAAGACUGGGAUAACUUCGGGAAACCGGAGCUAAUACCGGAUAAUAUUUCGAACCGCAUGGUUCGAUAGUGAAAGAUGGCUCAGCUAUCCCUUAUAGAUGGACCUGCGCCGUAUUAGCUAGUUGGUAAGGUAACGGCUACCAAGGCAACGAUACGUAGCCGACCUGAGAGGGUGAUCGGCCACACUGGAACUGAGACACGGUCCAGACUCCUACGGGAGGCAGCAGUAGGGAAUCUUCCGCAAUGGGCGAAAGCCUGACGGAGCAACGCCGCGUGAGUGAUGAAGGUCUUCGGAUCGUAAAACUCUGUUAUUAGGGAAGAACAAACGUGUAAGUAACUGUGCACGUCUUGACGGUACCUAAUCAGAAAGCCACGGCUAACUACGUGCCAGCCGCCGCGGUAA
rnacentral:rRNA from 1 species